AAGACCUUGCGCUUUUGGAGCGGCCGAUGCCUGAUUAGCUAGUUGGUGGGGUAAAAGCCUACCAAGGCAACGAUCAGUAGUUGGUCUGAGAGGACGGCCAGCCACACUGGGACUGAGACGCGGCCCAGACUCCUACGGGAGGCAGCAGUGGGGAAUUUUGGACAAUGGGCGCAAGCCUGAUCCAGCAAUGCCGCGUGAGUGAAGAAGGCCUUCGGGUUGUAAAGCUCUUUCAGUCGAGAAGAAAAGAUUGUGACGAAUAAUCACAAUUCAUGACGGUAUCGACAGAAGAAGCACCGGCUAACUACGUGCCAGCAGCCGCGGUAAUACGUAGGGUGCAAGCGUUAAUCGGAAUUACUGGGCGUAAAGGGUGCGCAGGCGGCUUUGUAAGUCAGAUGUGAAAUCCCCGGGCUUAACCUGGGAAUU
rnacentral:rRNA from 1 species